AUAUUUGCUGGAAGGUGCCACUUUAUUUAACAAAGAGGAACACCAUUACUCUGCAGCUUUCCAGAUCGACGGACAUUGGAUGCACUAUGAUGGCCUCAGAAAUGUGAAUUUAAUUUUGUUAAAUAAACCCCCAGAGUUUCUCCUCUUGUCAUCAUUGGUUUAUAUUCGAGCAACAGAGAAAUAAAUAUAGACUGAUGCUGAAUUAAAUUGUUCUCCCGCCUGCCCGUGCUCCCCAGAGGAAGGGCUCUUGUUCUGUAUAUACUUGGUAUCCAAGGAGACAGUUCAACUAUACUAGUUUCAGAGAUGGAUUUUUCAUUGUUUUGCCCCAGGUAAAUGUUUUAUAUGGACGAUCUAUGCAAAAAUGUAUUUUUAAAGUAUUUUCUGGGUUAUUUUUAUACAAGCAUAUGUUAAGUUCAAAUAAAAUGUAUCUCGUG
rnacentral:lncRNA from 1 species